CCUGUCAUCGUCUAGUGGUUAGGACACCAGGUUUUGAGAUCGGAAAGAUACUUCUCACGCUGGUGGCUCCUGGUAACCUGGGUUCGACUCCCAGUGACAGGU
rnacentral:tRNA from 1 species